rnacentral:rRNA from 1 species
UACGGGGGGUGCAAGCGUUGUCCGGAUUUACUGGGCGUAAAGGGCGCGUAGGCGGCUUGAUCAGUCGGACUUUUAAGAGCGGGGCUCAACCCCGUGGUGGGUUCGGGACGGUCGAGCUGGGGCGCGGUCGAGGGGGAUGGAAUGCCGGGUGUAGUGGUGAAAUGCGUAGAUAUCCGGCGGAACACCGGUGGCGAAGGCGGCAUCCUGGACCGACACUGACACUGAGGAGCGAAAGCCAGGGGAGCAAACGGG